rnacentral:rRNA from 1 species
UACGAAGGGGGCUAGCGUUGUUCGGAAUCACUGGGCGUAAAGCGCGCGUAGGCGGUCUAGCAAGUCAGAGGUGAAAUGCCGGGGCUUAACCCCGGAACUGCCUUUGAAACUGCUAGACUGGAAUCUUGGAGGGGGUAGUGGAAUUCCUAGUGUAGAGGUGAAAUUCGUAGAUACUAGGAGGAACACCGGUGGCGAAGGCGGCUACCUGGACAAGUAUUGACGCUGAGGCGCGAAAGCGUGGGGAGCAAACAGG